UGGGAGUUGGAGUGAGGUCUGAUAGUGGGUGCAGGUGAAUUAUGGGAGUUGGAGUGAGGGCUGAUAGUGGGUGCAGGUGAAUUAUGGGAGUUGUAGUGAGGGCUGAUAGUGGGUGCAGGUGAAUUAUGGGAGUUGUAGUGAGGGCUGAUAGUGGGUGCAGGUGAAUUAUGGGAGUUGGAGUGAGGGCUGAUAGUGGGUGCAGGUGAAUUAUGGGAGUUGGAGUGAGGGCUGAUAGUGGGUGCAGGUGAAUUAUGGGAGUUGUAGUGAGGGCUGAUAGUGGGUGCAGGUGAAUUAUGGGAGUUGGAGUGAGGGCUGAUAGUGGGUGCAGGUGAAUUAUGGGAGUUGUAGUGAGGGCUGAUAGUGGGUGCAGGUGAAUUAUGGGAGUUGGAGUGAGGGCUGAUAGUGGGUGCAGGUGAAUUAUGGGAGUUG